UGGGGAAUAUUGCACAAUGGGCGAAAGCCUGAUGCAGCGACGCCGCGUGAGGGAUGACGGCCUUCGGGUUGUAAACCUCUUUCAGCAGGGAAGAAGCGAAAGUGACGGUACCUGCAGAAGAAGCGCCGGCUAACUACGUGCCAGCAGCCGCGGUAAUACGUAGGGCGCAAGCGUUGUCCGGAAUUAUUGGGCGUAAAGAGCUCGUAGGCGGUUAGUCGCGUCUGCUGUGAAAACUCGAGGCUCAACCUCGGGCCUGCAGUGGGUACGGGCAGACUAGAGUGCGGUAGGGGAGAAUGGAAUUCCUGGUGUAGCGGUGGAAUGCGCAGAUAUCAGGAGGAACACCGAUGGCGAAGGCAGUUCUCUGGGCCGUAACUGACGCUGAGGAGCGAAAGCGUGGGGAGCGAACAGGAUUAGAUACCCUGGUAGUCCACGCCGUAAACGUUGGGCGCUAGAUGUGGGGACCAUUCCACGGUUUCCGUGUCGCAGCUAACGCAUUAAGCGCCCCGCCUGGGGAGUACGGCCGCAAGGCUAAAACUU
rnacentral:rRNA from 1 species